GGGUCUGUAGCUCAGUGGCAGAGUGCUUGCCUAGCAUGCAUGAGGCACUGGGUUCCAUCCUCAGCACCA
rnacentral:tRNA from 1 species